GGCGCUGGGGAAAACGUUGCGCAGGUUCAAAAAUGGAACGUCGGCGGCGUGAGGGAGCACUAGGGGGUGUGCGCGCGUGCGCGUGCGCGCCUGGACGAGCCUGACGGGGUCCCCGCUGUCCCGAGCAUCGCGCGCAGCAGCCGCGGCCCCGCAGCUCCACCCCCGGCCCGGUCCGGCCCCGGGCCCACUCUCCCGCCGCCCCGCAUGGAGCUGUCAGCCAUAGGCGAGCAGGUGUUUGCGGUGGAAAGCAUCCGGAAGAAGCGCGUGCGGAAGGGCAAAGUUGAAUAUCUGGUGAAGUGGAAAGGAUGGCCCCCCAAGUACAGCACUUGGGAGCCAGAGGAGCACAUCCUGGACCCCCGCCUUGUCAUGGCCUACGAGGAAAAGGAGGAGAGAGACCGAGCAUCAGGGUAUAGGAAGAGAGGUCCGAAACCCAAGCGGCUUCUGCUGCAGGAGUCAGCAGCCCCAGAUGUCCUGCAAGCCUCCGGAGACUGGGAGCCUGUGGAGCAGCCCCCUGAGGAGGAGGCAGAAGCAGACCUGGCCAAUGGGCAGCCUCACUGGACACCCACGCUCCCCUCAAGUGAAGUUACCGUGACUGACAUCACCACCAACUCCGUCACCGUCACCUUCCGCGAGGCUCAAGCCGCCGAGGGCUUCUUCCGAGACCGCAGUGGGAAGCUGUGAAUAGCGGCUUCCCCUCUUAAACUGUGUUUCUUGGGGCUUGGGUGAGGAAUUCCAGAGACAGGAGGGGCUGGGAGCAGGAGGCCAAUCCGUGGAAGUCGGAGGAGCCCCGGAGGUCCAGACCUUGACUCAAGCAGUCACCCAACUUUCUGGUGGUGUCCCUCCCUGUUCCGUCACGUGGGUGUUUACUAUGAACUUUCUGCUCCAGCUUUGUGGUGGGACUUGGAGGCUAGCCUUGGCCACCAGGGACAGGAUCGGGACAGCAGGCAUGGGCUGGACCAGGGAAGAGACUGCCCACCAAGCCUCCUGAGUGUGCUGUCUCCCUGUCAUUGGCCUGUGUAGAGAUACCCGUGAAAACAUCCAGCCACCCCGAUGUGUACACACAGAGUGUGUUCACAUGUGCCCCGUGUCUAUAGUCCUGUCCAUGUGGACCUUGCACACCUUUAGAAACUGACCAGGCGACCAUGGUGUGCGUCAUUCACAGCACAAGCGAACUUGCCUCGGCACCCUUGCUCCACCUUGCACAUAUGUCGUGUGACAGGAUCGGUCUCUGUUGGUUUGCAGCUGUCUUGGCAAACGGCUGGGAUUUGGUGGCAUGUAAUCUCUGAGCCACAGAUAGGACCAGGCUUUGGUGUGCAAGGGGCAGAUGCUUCCACACAGGCUCACAAGCACCUGGCCCACCCCUCCUCCCGCAGGAGUUCACGUUCUCAGGUGACUUCCAGCCCCACCCCCUUUUUCUGCCCUCUCCUGCAGCUCAGCCGAUCUGGGCACCCGUGGGUGCCGGGGUGCCAGUGUGCGGGCCGUCAGGGAGGGAGUGUCCCACCACUUUCUCAGGGCAGUCCUUGUCUUCUGUGUCCCCCCACACACACCUGAAUGGCACGGCUAAGGAUGACCCAUCACACCUUGUGGGGAUUGAACUAUGAUAGUGGGACAGGUUGCACACAAGCGUGUGGUCCUGGUAAGGGGGGCGGUUUACUAGUUUGCACAGGCGCCCUCUAGGCUGACACCUUCCUACCUGAGGACGGGCUCCUCCCUUGUCGAAGGCGCAUUGCUCUCACCCCUGCUACUAUAGGAAGCUAUGUGGCUGGGUCCUAGCAGCUACCAAUUCUGCUGUGUCUUUAAGAGGCCAGCAGAGUCUGUAUGAGCAAGGGCAGGAUGACUUCUCGACACUCCCAUUCCCAAACCAAAGACCCUGCAGCCUGUGUCUGUCUGUCUUCUACCUUCUCUUGUCCCUGGUCUCCCUCCUUAAUUCUCACUUGUCCAGGGUUAACUCAGUGCUUCCAUUGGGGGCAGUCUUCUGUGGGUGACCUGCUUUGCCUCCCUCCUGGGACCUGAAUCUAGAGAUGUCUGGGUGAGCCAGGGAUAGUCCCAUUGACUGCAGGAACCUGGGAGUGGGGAGAAACUUGCUGUACUUGAGCUCCCAGCUCCAGAGAGAAGGUGAGGGUGGGUCUUUGCUGCUGGGUUUGAUGGCCUACAAUAUUGGGGGACAGUGUUCCGUUGACGUCAUGCUCCCAUUCCUAGGGGCAUGAGACUAAAUGCCUGUGCAGUUGGACUGUGAGGCCCCGGUGGGCCUGCCCAGCAGCUGUCUUCUGUCCUUAGCAGUAGGUGGUGUCCUUGUCUCUCGGGGCCCUUUAUGAAACCCACCAUUUCCUGGAGACGUGGCCUAAGCUGCGUAUCCCUCAGGGCAGCUGUGUAGCUCUGGACUGCAGGGGACUGGCCACCUAGGGAGCAUGGCGACACAGGCUUCUCCCAGCCUGAAGCUACCCAAGUGGACAGUCAACCCCCUCCACCCGCAUACACUAACCCCAUACAAGGCCAGUACUCGAGCAAGGAGUGGUGGCCGCCUGCCUCUCUCUCCCCUGGCCCCACCCACCUGAAUGUAGAAAUUGGGCUGUACUUUCCCUCGCUGGGUUGAGGUGAAGAUGUGCCACAGCCUAUGAUGUGGACACUUGCAGUGCCACAGUUGAACCCAUUUGGGCCUUGUGGUUCUCAUCUGGUAAGAUGGUGAUCUUAUUGCCAAGUUCCUUCCACCUCCUGCCACUGAGGAAGGAGCUCAGUGCAGUGAGGUGGGGUCCAUUUUGCUUUAUAAAUGGCGGACUGGACCCAGCCGCCAGGUCUCAGCACAAGACCGCUUCCUUUGCACAGAAUGAGCUAUGAGCUUUUUUCAGACUACCUGAAUGUAUUGGGAGGAGUUGGGCAUAGGCCCUCCCCUGGGGAGUGUGUGCUGGGAAGUCAGCAGGUGUAGACUGCAGUUUUAUUUUUGUACUGAUAUUGGUAAGAGACUGUAUAGCAUCUA